rnacentral:tRNA from 1 species
AAAAAAAUAGCUCAGUUGGUAGAGCGUUAGACUAUAAAUCGGAAGGUCCUUGGUUCUAUCCUGGGUUCCGGCA